rnacentral:lncRNA from 1 species
GGACUCUUGGUAUGUUGUCGCCCCUACUCAUGAUUUCAUGCCAAACCAUGCCCAAAAAAAAUAUGAGACUCCCCUUCUUAUAUUUUUUCUUUAUAAAUCAUUCUCUAACUAAUCUCCUAUAAAAAAUCUUCUCAAAAUAUUGCACAUAUAGGGAGAAAAAAAUAAGUUGGCAUGGAGAGGUGAUUUGAGUAAGAACAGAUUCUCUUGAUAAGGAAUAUUUUGAAAUCCAAUUUUAAAACCUUUCUUUUAUCAAAAUCAUAUCAAAUUUGGAUAUGAGAUAGAGAGGGAG